GGCGAACGCUGGCGGCGUGCCUAAUACAUGCAAGUUGAGCGAUGAAGAUUGGUGCUUGCACCAAUUUGAAGAGCAGCGAACGGGUGAGUAACGCGUGGGGAAUCUGCCUUUGAGCGGGGGACAACAUUUGGAAACGAAUGCUAAUACCGCAUAACAACUUUAAACAUAAGUUUUAAGUUUGAAAGAUGCAAUUGCAUCACUCAAAGAUGAUCCCGCGUUGUAUUAGCUAGUUGGUGAGGUAAAGGCUCACCAAGGCGAUGAUACAUAGCCGACCCGAGAGGGUGAUCGGCCACAUUGGGACUGAGACACGGCCCAAACUCCUACGGGAGGCAGCAGUAGGGAAUCUUCGGCAAUGGACGAAAGUCUGACCGAGCAACGCCGCGUGAGUGAAGAAGGUUUUCGGAUCGUAAAACUCUGUUGGUAGAGAAGAACGUUGGUGAGAGUGGAAAGCUCAUCAAGUGACGGUAACUACCCAGAAAGGGACGGCUAACUACGUG
rnacentral:rRNA from 1 species